AGAGGGGAACGGAUCAACUGCUGGUGUGCCCAACCAAAUUCAACUCCUGAGUCCUCAGUCUCCGGUCCCGGGAAGGUAUCAAGGGAGCCACUCGAAAACCCAUGAAUCUGUCGAAGACAACUGAAGUGGUCCAGGGGCCCGAUGAGUCACCAGGAGCGUUUCUAGAAUGCCUCCAAGAGGCCUAUUGGACUUAUACCCCUUUUGACCUGGCAGCUCCCGAGAAUAGCCGUGCUAUUAAUUUGGCAUUUGUGGCUCAGGCAGCCCCUGAUAGAAGAAAGUUACAAAAGCUGUAGGGAUUUGCUGGAAUGAACACCAGCCAACUUUUAGAGAUAGCCCAGAAAGUUUUUGACAAUUGAGAGGUUAAAAAGCAAAAACAGGCAGCUCAGGCAGCUGAAAGGGCUGCUGACAAAGCAUCAAAAAGACAGGCAAAAAUCUUCGUGGCUGCCAUCCAAGAAGCCAAGACAGAAGGGCCCCCAUCACAGAGCACUGGCCAAGGGAUCCCGGGUCCCUGCCAGAAAGGCCAAAAGCUGAGCAGGCUCCCCUACAAAGAAACCAAUGCACUUAUUGCAAGCAGAUUGGACACUGGAAAAUGGAAUGCCCAUUAAAACCAGAAGAAAAACCAGAAGAGAAAAAGGUCCUCACCCUCCCUGCUGCGGAGGAAUCUGAUGAUUGAUGGGGCCGGGGCUCCCUCUCCCUUGGCCCCUGGGAGCCCAUGGUGACUGCCACACUGGGGGGCCAGCCUAUACGCUUCCUAAUUGACACCGGGGCGGAACACUUGGUACUGCAGAUACCCUUGGGCAGUGUCUCU
rnacentral:lncRNA from 1 species